GGAACUUCCUGGGUGAGAAGUCUGGAGGAGGACGAAAGCGCUCGGGAGCCUAUUUCUGGCUUUAAUAACAGCCUUGGUGACAACCAACCGCAUGAGAAGGGUGCUGGCAGGCGGGUCCGCCAGAGAACAGUGGCACCUCCUGCCUGGAACAUGGGUUUUCUGUGAGACUGUCAAGAUCAAAUGAGUUAAUACAAACCUGCAAAGAGCUGAGGAUGAUACUCUGCUUGUAUCAAGAAAGGCUACUGCACUCUACCACUGGCCGAAGCUCCUGGGGCACAGUGACUUGCCAAAGAUGUCUCAGCCGCUCACUGCAGGAUCAGGACCAAGGUCCCAGGCUUCUGUGGCAGAGCAGCGCCUUCUUAGCCCUGGGAGUCUCUGGUUCUUUCUUUUUGUUUUAAGGAUUGGCAGCUUUUCAUGUAUUCCUGUUAGAAGAUAAAAAAUAUUAAAUAACUAC
ensembl:lncRNA